rnacentral:rRNA from 1 species
UGUGUAGGCGGUUCUUUAAGUUUGGUGUGAAAUCUCCCGGCUCAACCGGGAGGGUGCGCCGAAUACUGAGGGACUAGAGUACGGGAGAGGAAAGUGGAAUUCCUGGUGUAGCGGUGAAAUGCGUAGAUAUCAGGAGGAACACCGGUGGUGUAGGCGGCUUUCUGGACCGUAACUGACGCUGAGACACGAAAGCGUGGGUAGCAAACAGGAUUAGAUACCCUGGUAGUCCACGCCCUAAACGAUGCAUAUUUGGUGUGGGCAGUUCAUUCUGUCCGUGCCGGAGCUAACGCGUUAAAUACGCCGCCUGGGGAGUACAGUCGCAAGGCUGAA